rnacentral:rRNA from 1 species
UACGUAGGGUGCAAGCGUUAAUCGGAAUUACUGGGCGUAAAGCGUGCGCAGGCGGUUGCGCAAGACAGAUGUGAAAUCCCCGGGCUCAACCUGGGAACUGCAUUUGUGACUGCACGGCUAGAGUGCGGCAGAGGGAGAUGGAAUUCCGCGUGUAGCAGUGAAAUGCGUAGAUAUGCGGAGGAACACCGAUGGCGAAGGCAAUCUCCUGGGCCUGCACUGACGCUCAUGCACGAAAGCGUGGGGAGCAAACAGG